UACAGAGGGUGCAAGCGUUGUUCGGAAUUAUUGGGCGUAAAGGGUGCGUAGGCGGUGCGGUAAGUCUGUAGUGAAAUCUCUGGGCUCAACUCAGAGUCUGCUAUAGAAACUGCCGUGCUUGAGUGUGGGAGAGGUGAGUGGAAUUCCCGGUGUAGCGGUGAAAUGCGUAGAUAGUCGGGAGGAACACCUGUGGCGAAAGCGGCUCACUGGACCACAACUGACGCUGAUGCACGAAAGCUAGGGGAGCAAACAGG
rnacentral:rRNA from 1 species